CCUACGGGCGUCAGCAGUGGGGAAUAUUGCACAAUGGGGGAAACCCUGAUGCAGCGACGCCGCGUGAGUGAAGAAGUAAUUCGUUAUGUAAAGCUCUAUCAGCAGGGAAGAAAGUGACGGUACCUGAGUAAGAAGCCCCGGCUAACUACGUGCCAGCAGCCGCGGUAAUACGUAGGGGGCAAGCGUUAUCCGGAUUUAAUGGGUGUAAAGGGAGCGUAGACGGCAGUGCAAGUCUGGAGUGAAAGGCGGGGGCUCAACCCCCGGACUGCUCUGGAAACUGUGCGGCUUGAGUGCAGGAGAGGUAAGUGGAAUUCCUAGUGUAGCGGUGAAAUGCGUAGAUAUUAGGAGGAACACCAGUGGCGAAGGCGGCUUACUGGACUGUAACUGACGUUGAGGCUCGAAAGCGUGGGGAGCAAACAGGAUUAGAUACCCGAGUAGUC
rnacentral:rRNA from 1 species